AGUCGCUGGGUGUAGACCCGAAACCAAGUGAUCUACUCAUGGCCAGGAUGAAGGUGCGGUAACACGCACUGGAGGUCCGAACCCACUAAUGUUGAAAAAUUAGGGGAUGAGCUGUGGGUAGGGGUGAAAGGCUAAACAAACUUGGAAAUAGCUGGUUCUCUCCGAAAACUAUUUAGGUAGUGCCUCAAGUAUCACCAUCGGGGGUAGAGCACUGUUAUGGCUAGGGGGUCAUCGCGACUUACCAAACCAUUGCAAACUCCGAAUACCGAUGAGUGCGAGCUUGGGAGACAGACGUCGGGUGCUAACGUCCGGCGUCAAGAGGGAAACAACCCAGACCGCCAGCUAAGGUCCCAAAGAUUGGCUAAGUGGAAAACGAAGUGGGAAGGCUAAAACAGUCAGGAUGUUGGCUUAGAAGCAGCCAUCAUUUAAAGAAAGCGUAAUAGCUCACUGAUCGAGUCGUCCUGCGCGGAAGAUGUAACGGGGCUAAGCCAGUCACCGAAGCUGCGGAUAU
rnacentral:rRNA from 1 species